CCCUAGUAGAGCUUCCUCAACAAUAACUCCAUUUUCUCUAUCAAUCAAGCCUGCGUAUACACAUCUCAAUCUCCUAUUGACUCUGCAUCUCUCUACCCCUAGCCGCAGCCGUCGCGUCGCCGUCGUCUUUCUAUCUCAAAACAUGUCGGUUACUGAAACACCCUUCAGGCCUAGACAGAAGCUUCUCGAGAAGCAGAGGUAUUUCCAGAGCAUUCACAGGCACACCUAUUUGAAGGGUCCUCUUGAUAAGGUCACCUCUGUUGCCAUCCCACUUGCGUUGGCUGCUUCAUCGUUGUAUAUGAUUGGCAGAGGGAUCUACAAUAUGUCAAAUGGUAUUGGAAAGAAGGAAUGAACGCUCAAAUAUGGCCAAAAUUUCUGCUAUAUUUCAAAUAGACAGAUGCUUGAUCUGGUUUACUUUUAGAAUUAUUGAAGCAUUUUCUGGCAAAUAAAUGCCCGGUUGCAGACAUACAAACAUAACAUUGCAUGCGAAUGUAUGGGACAAACUCACUUUUGAUGCAUUUGCUUCUUUCUAGUUUCAGUCUGUAUACUUUUGCUUUCUAUUCAUUUUCAAUAAACUUUAAUUUUUCUUA